GGAGGGAUGACUAGUGACAGAGGGAGGGGGUGACACAGUGAGAGUGAGGGAGAUGGUGACUAGUGACAGAGUGAGGGAGGUGGUGACUGUCACUAGUCCCCCCAUCCCUGCCUCUGUCACUAGUCACCCCUUCCUUCCCUCACUCUGCCACUAGUCACCCCCUCCCUCACUCUGUCACCAGUCACCCCCUCCCUCUGUCACUAGUCACCCCAUCC